GUUGGUGUAGCUCAGUGGUAGAGUGCUAUAUGCUUUGUAUGUAUGAGGUCCAGGCUUCAAUCCCCAGCUUCUCCC